CCUACGGGUGGCUGCAGUAAGGAAUAUUGGUCAAUGGACGCAAGUCUGAACCAGCCAUGCCGCGUGGAGGAUGAAGGUCCUCUGGAUUGUAAACUUCUUUUAUUUGGGAAGAAACUCCCGAUUUCCAUCGGGAUUGACGGUACCAGAUGAAUAGGCACCGGCUAACUCAGUGCUAGCAGCCGCGGUAAUACGGAGGGUGCAAGCGUUAUCGGGAUUCACGGGGUCGUAGGUGGGCAGGUAAGUCAGGGGUGAAAUCUCCGGGCUUAACCCGGAAACUGCCAUUGAGACUAUUUGGCUUGAAUACUCUGGAGGUGAGCGGAAUAUGUCAUGUAGCGGUGAAAUGCGUAGAUAUGACAUAGAACACCCAUUGCGAAGGCAGCUCACUACGGAAAUAUUGACGCUGAGGCACGAAAGCGUGGGGAUCAAACAGGAUUAGAUACCCCAGUAGUC
rnacentral:rRNA from 1 species